GCAAGAGGGAAAGAGUGUUACACCGGUUUAUCGUUACCACAUGAAAAAAUGGUAGCUAAGAAGGCACACAUUGAAAACUUUAAUGGGGCCAAUAAGGGGACUGUAGAAUCAAAUUUACGAGACAAUCAGAUCACUAGCCAAGAUUUGUGUCCUAGUUUUUCUGCCAGAACCAAAGAGGAUUUCACUGGUUUAUCUUUACCACACAUGGUCGCUAAGAAAGCACACAUUGAAAAAAUUGAUAGUGUCAAUCAAGGCUAUGCAAAAUCUACUUUACCGGAGAAGACUAACCACGAAUUGCAUCCUAGCAAUUGCGCAAGAACCAAAGAGGGUUGCACAAGUUUAUCUUCACCACAUAAACACACGGUUGCUAAGGUGUGUGCGCCCGCGUG